rnacentral:lncRNA from 1 species
CCCUUUCUCUCUUUCUCUCCAUUCUAAUCUCCCAUUCUCUCUCUUUCUGUCCAUUUUAAUCUCCUAUCCUCUCUCUUUCUCUCAAUUCUAAUCUCCAGCCUCUCUUUUUCUCUCCAUUCUAACCUCCCAUUCUCUCUCUGUCUCUCUUACUCUCCAUUCUAAUCUACCAUUCUCUCUCUUUCUCUCCAAUCUAAUAUCCUAUCCUCUCCCAUUCUCUCUCUUUCUUUCUAUCCCUCGAUUCUAAUGUCCCAUCUUCUCUCUUUCUUUCUAUCCCUCGAUUCUAAUCUCCCAUCUUCUCUCUUUCUUUCUAUCCCUCGAUUCUAAUCUAUCCUCUCUUUUUCUCUCCAUUCUAAUCUCCCAUCCUUUAUCUUUCUCUCUAUCCCUCCAUUCUAGUCUCCCAUAAUCUCUCUUUCUCUCCAUUAUAAUCUCCUAACCUCUCUCUUUCUCUCCAUUAUAAUCUCCCAUCCUCUCUCUUUCUCUCCAUUAUAAUCUCCUAACCUCUCUCUUUCUCUCCAUUCUAAUCUCCUAUCCUCUCUCUUUCUCUCCAUUAUAAUCUCCUAACCUCUCUCUUUCUCUCCAUUCUAAUCUCACACCAUCUCUCUUUCUAUCCAUUAUAAUCUCCCAUUCUCUCUCUGUCUCUCUUCCUCUCCAUUCUAAUCUUCCAUCAUCUCUCUUUCUCACCAUUCUAAUCUCCCAUCCUUUAUCUUUCUCUCUUUCUCUCCAUUCUAGUCUCCCAUAAUUUCUCUUUCAAUCCAUUCUAAUCUCCCAUCCAACCCCUUUUCUCUCUCUCACUUUCUCUUCUCAAUCUCACUGUCUCUUUUUCUCCCUCACUCAAACUGCUGAGGCCAAGAAUAAUACACUACAAAUAUAACAUGUUUCUCUGCGGUAAAUUGGCUGACAAUUUUCUCUGCAUUAGUCUAAUAAUCUUUUUUUUUUUUAAAGAGUGAAAUGACUCUCUUAUGUCUUAUGAGCCUUCCGAAUAUAAUAUAAUAAUCAAUGUUGUUUUCAAAACAACUGGUAAGACUUAAGGUAAGGGUUGACAUAUGGUUCAAACAGAAACAACUUGAUUGUAAAGCUUAGUUAUUAAUUCUGACUGGUUAAGGUAAGGGUUAAGUUUAGGCAUUGAUUCUGACUGGUUAAGGUAAGGGUUAAAUUUAGGCAUUUAUUCUGACUGGUUAAGGUAAGGGUUAAGUUUAGGCAUU